AUGUCCGCCGGGAUCAUGCCCCUCGUUCUGUCCGAGAUGUUGCUUCAUUUGCUGCUGCGGUAUAAGGUUCUUAGGAUAUAUAAGUCUAAUGAUUAUAUCAAUUAUAUAUGUCUCAGGAAUCAGGUGCAAAAGUUGCUUGCGGUAGUUUGUGCCGCUUAUUUCUCAAUCUGCAUGGUGCUAAUGUCAACUAUCUUGGGCAAACUGACCUUAGGGCAUUCAAUUCUGAUCGUGCUUCAGCAUUUCUUUGGAAGUGUCAUAGUCAUUUAUAUUGAUGAUCUCCUUAAAAAGGGAUAUGGGUUUCUUUCGAGUAUCCCCUUGUUCAGUGCCACCGACAUUUGUGCAAGUAUUUUCUGGAAAGCUUUUAGCCCCUGUAUCAUAAUGAUAUACGGUGGACAGCAUGGUGAUCAACAUGGGGAAGCUCUGACUUCCUCCCUUAUUCAUCCCUCUGUUGGAAAUGAAAACUACAAAUUGUCUUUGAUGCAUAAAGUGUACGGAUGUCGAGACCUUCCGGAGAUGGCUAGUGUGCUCACCACGUGCGCCUUCUUUCUACUCGUCCUCAGCCUGCAAGGCUUCCAUGUCAUGUUGCCCGUCAGGCUUUCCCACCUCUCCUUUGCACCCCUACUCUACCAUGAUGCAUUGGCCAUAUUCCUAUACUUCAUCACAGAGUUGCUACGCGUGAAAUUUGGUGAAAACAACAAGGUGGUCAUUUUGCUGGGCAAGUGGAAGAAAUCACAAUAUUUUGGGCAGGCAGUUCGAGUCAUUAGCUUAGCCUACGACAUGACAACACCACCAACCUUGGCUGACUUUGGAAGACACCCAUUCCACACACUGGUUUGUGCGCUUUGGCAGCUUCUGGGGUGUGGCCUUGUGUCAUUGUCCUUUUUCAGUGUUUGUUCACGUUCGGAGUUGUACGUUGCCAGGUUGCUUGGGGAGCGACGAAAUGCAACAGCCGCUCAGCCGGACUCUGUUCCUCUGGAACUAUGGAGGUGCUAUGUCGGCAAGGCAGCGUUUCUUGUGGGACUCUGCAUUGGUGCACUUAAGCUUCUGGCUGGCCUUGCCGGUGUGGUCGGCUCCGGCACCGGGAUCAUGCUCGCCGUCACUAUCUUGUACUCCUGCUUCGAAGAGACCAGCAAUGGAGGAAGGCCGGCUGGUGCCUUUGGUUUCUGA
rnacentral:rRNA from 1 species